rnacentral:rRNA from 1 species
UACGUAGGGUGCGAGCGUUAAUCGGAAUUACUGGGCGUAAAGCGUGCGCAGGCGGUUCUCCAAGUCCGUUGUGAAAUCCCUGGGCUCAACCUGGGAAUGGCAGUGGAUACUGGAAAGCUAGAGUGCGGUAGAGGGUAGUGGAAUUCCCGGUGUAGCAGUGAAAUGCGUAGAGAUCGGGAGGAACACCAGUGGCGAAGGCGGCUACCUGGACCAGCACUGACACUGAGGCACGAAAGCGUGGGGAGCAAACAGG